rnacentral:rRNA from 1 species
ACAGGGGUGGCAAGCGUUACUCGGAAUUAUUGGGUGUAAAGGGCAGGUAGGCGGCUUGGUAAGUGAGGGGUGAAAUCCCACGGUUUAAUCGUGGAACAGCCUUUCAAACUGCCUUGCUUGAGGGUGACAGAGGAAGAUGGAAUUCUCGGUGUAAGGGUGAAAUCUGUAGAUAUCGGGAAGAACACCAACGGCGAAGGCAAUCUUCUGGGUCACAUCUGACGCUGAGCUGCGAAAGCUAGGGAGCAAACAGAAUUAGAUACUCUGGUAGUCCUAGCCGUAAACGAUGAAUACUAGGUGUUGGCCCCUUCGGGGGUCGGUGCCGAAGCUAACGCAUUAAGUAUUCCACCUGGGGACUACGAUCGCAAGGUUA